rnacentral:rRNA from 1 species
AUGAGAGAUAUGCAAAGCAAUUCUAGACUGGAAUCUGAUGAGACUCCUGAACCUGCUAUUCUGAUGGAAUAUUAUGAACAUAAAAGUGAUAAUAUUUCCAUGGAGGAUGACGAGGAAGCUCCUGUUAGGAGCAAGAGACAGAGGACUGCAAAGUCCUUUGGUGAUGAUUUCCUCGUGUACCUCGUGGAUGAUGAUACUCCCAGCUCCAUUUUAGAAGCUUAUGCAUCUCCGGAUGCUGACUACUGGAAGGAUGCGGUCCGUAGUGAGAUGGAUUCCAUCUUGGCUAACGGGACAUGGGAGAUCACUGAUCGUCCUUAUGGUUGUCGACCAUUAGGAUGUAAGUGGGUGUUCAAAAGGAAGCUUAGGCCCGAUGGUACUGUUGAGAAGUACAAGGCUAGGCUUGUGGCCAAGGGUUAUACCCAGAAAGAAGAAGAGGAUUUCUUUGACACUUAUUCACCUGUGGCUAGACUGACAACCAUUCGAGUGUUACUCGCUUUGGCUGCCUCGCAUGGUCUUCUCGUUCAUCAGAUGGACGUUAAGACGGCUUUCCUCAACGGAGAGCUAGACGAGGAAAUUUACAUGCAACAGCCGGAUGGCUUUGUAGUAAAUGUUCAGGAAGGUAAGGUGUGUAAGCUAGUGAAAUCUUUGUAUGGCCUGAAACAAGCGCCUAAGCAAUGGCAUGAGAAGUUCAACAGUACUCUGACAUCUGCUGGCUUUGUUGUGAACAAAGCUGACAAAUGUGUAUACUAUCGCUAUGGUGGGGGCGAAGGAUUUAUACUGUGUCUAUAUGUCGAUGACAUACUGAUAUUUGGGACCCACCUCAAGGUCAUUGAGGAGGUCAAGUCUUUUCUAUCUCACAACUUUGAGAUGAAGGACCUGGGUGUGGCUGAUGUUAUCCUGAACAUAAAGCUACUAAGAAAUUCUGAGGGUGGAAUUACACUUUUGCAAUCCCACUAUGUUGAGAAGAUUUUGAGCCGUUUUGGAUAUUCGGACUGCAAACCUUCUGCAACACCAUAUGAUCCUAGCGUGCGGAUUCAAAAGUUCGAAGGCACGGCUGUAGAUCAAUUGAGAUAUUCUCUAGUGGUUGGUUCACUGAUGUACCUAGCAUGUGCUACUCGUCCUGACAUCUCGUUUGCUGUGUGCAAACUGAGCCGGUUUGUUUCCAAUCCGGGAGAUGUGCACUGGCAUGCUAUUGAGCGAGUGAUGCAUUAUUUGCAAGGUACUACGAACUAUGGAAUUCACUAUUCUGGGUACCCGACGGUA